rnacentral:rRNA from 1 species
AUUGAACGCUGGCGGCAUGCCUUACACAUGCAAGUCGAACGGCAGCAUGAUCUAGCUUGCUAGAUUGAUGGCGAGUGGCGAACGGGUGAGUAAUACAUCGGAACGUGCCCUGUAGUGGGGGAUAACUAGUCGAAAGAUUAGCUAAUACCGCAUACGACCUGAGGGUGAAAGUGGGGGACCGCAAGGCCUCAUGCUAUAGGAGCGGCCGAUGUCUGAUUAGCUAGUUGGUGAGGUAAAGGCUCACCAAGGCGACGAUCAGUAGCUGGUCUGAGAGGACGAUCAGCCACACUGGGACUGAGACACGGCCCAGACUCCUACGGGAGGCAGCAGUGGGGAAUUUUGGACAAUGGGCGAAAGCCUGAUCCAGCAAUGCCGCGUGUGUGAAGAAGGCCUUCGGGUUGUAAAGCACUUUUGUCCGGAAAGAAAUGGCUCUGGUUAAUACCUGGGGUCGAUGACGGUACCGGAAGAAUAAGACCGGCUAACUACGUG